rnacentral:rRNA from 1 species
GCCGCAGUAUUUUGACUGUGCAAAGGUAGCAUAAUCAUUAGUUUUUUAAUUGAAAGCUGGAAUGAAGGGUCGGAUGAGAAAGAAGCUGUCUCAAGAAAAUUUUAUUUGAAUUUUAUUUUUAAGUCAAAAAGCUUAAAUUUUAUAGAAAGACGAGAAGACCCUAUAGAGUUUAAUAGAUUAAUAUUUCAGUUAAAAAAGGUUUUUAUUUUAAUUGAUUUAUUAUCUAUUUUGUUGGGGUGACAUUAGAAUUGGAAAAACUUCUUUUUAUAUUAACAUUAAUUAGUGAAUUUAUGAUCCUGAGUUUUUGGAUUAAAAGGAAAAAUUACCUUAGGGAUAACAGCGUAAUUCUUUUGGAGAGUUCUAAUCGAUAAAAGGGAUUGCGACCUCGAUGUUGGAUUAAAGUUGAUUUUUGGUGCAGAAGCUAGAACUUUG